UCAGUUCUGAAAUCUUAACCACUACAGAACCUCAUUAGACAACAGACAAAGAUGUGUUGUGACAUCUGUGAAUGCUUGUGUAGUUUCAUGUCUAAACUGUGUUGUGAAUUCUUUUGCGAAGAUUGCUGUGACUGUGACUGUUGCGAAGAUACUCUUGACGACGACGAAGAAGAGAAGAGGAAAAGGAGGAAAGAACAACAGGAUAAAAUCGUGUCUGCACAACCCACUAAUAAGGACCCUUCCAGUAGACCAUUAGUAUGAAAUAUUUACAUUGCACCCUUUACCAGUACUCUGUAGUUUAAAUUGAUGUGAAUAGUAAUAAAAACUAUUUAUUAUAUAAA